GUUGGCGUGGGGCACGCUAGGUGUCCAGGUCGUUUACCGCCGGUCACGCCAGACUAGCCGCGCGGACUGUAAAUCUGCCGGCUUCGCCUUCCCAGGUUCGAAUCCUGGCGCCGCCA
rnacentral:tRNA from 1 species